rnacentral:piRNA from 1 species
UUCAGAGAUGUUCAUGUAUUUUAAUUUCAAA